rnacentral:rRNA from 1 species
CCUACGGGAGGCAGCAGUGGGGAAUAUUGCACAAUGGGGGAAACCCUGAUGCAGCGACGCCGCGUGAGUGAAGAAGUAAUUCGUUACGUAAAGCUCUAUCAGCAGGGAAGAAAUACUGACCUUACGGUCAGCAGACGGUACCUGAGUAAGAAGCCCCGGCUAACUACGUGCCAGCAGCCGCGGUAAUACGUAGGGGGCAAGCGUUAUCCGGAUUUACUGGGUGUAAAGGGAGCGUAGACGGUGCGCCAAGUCUGGAGGGAAAUGCCGCAGCUUAACUGCGGAACUGCGUUGGAAACUGGCGAACUAGAGUGCGGGAGGGGUAAGCGGAAUUCCUAGUGUAGCGGUGAAAUGCGUAGAUAUUAGGAGGAACACCGGUGGCGAAGGCGGCUUACUGGACCGUAACUGACGUUGAGGCUCGAAAGCGUGGGGAGCAAACAGGAUUAGAUACCCGGGUAGUC